GUUUAUUAAUUGAAAGACAAGCCACAAAUUUAAGAAAACGACACUAAUAAGCUAGCCUGAGCUCAAGUCUGAAAUAUUCAGAAAAAACAAACUACAUGUGUCUUGGAUAAUUCCUAUAUUUUCCUCAUAUUGACACACUAAAUGUUAAUAUAUAAUUUUAUAAAUAUAAAAGCUCCCCGGUUUUGUUAUCCUUCAUGUAAAAUACACAAUACAAAUCACUCUACACAUAUUAGUAAGCUUUUACCAAUUUUCAGAGGAUAUAAUUUACUAAGAGGUAAAUUGGAACAACACACAAAAAAGAAAAAAAAAUACAUGUGUACUGUAUAUGUAAGGUACAUCAUCCAAAACGAUAAAGAGAGAAAGGGGGGAAAAUAUCACAAUUUACACUUUCAAACAUAUCUGUCAUUAAACUGCUUUAAAGUAAGGGACUGUAAAUAAAUAUCCUUCCAUUUUAUCUCAAUAUUUACAUCUAGGACUUGAGUUCUGAGUUUUCUCAGAGUACCACGAUGCUUGUGCUUGCAUUUGAACGCGCUACAGCAGGCCACGACUCACUACGUAAACAGUCAAAUGGCACUUAAAAUAUAUUCCAAAAACCCCCCCGAAAUAAGACGACAGAAACCAAGCAUGUCACUCUACGUACGAUAGAAAGAAACCAAAACGAAAACGAAAAAACCUCAUGAUGACACUGAUAGUGCAGUGCUCGUAUUGGUGGAAUCCCAAAAGAGUUCUGUUCAUGUCAUCAGCAGUUGAAUCAGUUUGGGUGCCUUUAAACUGCAUAUGUGUCAAAGGUGAGUGUGGCGUUUUGGGAGACGUCUGUCCAUUGGCUUGUACUGGUUCUGGAGGUCUUGGUGAAAUCAAAGGCACUGAAGUCUCUAGUCAGUGAAGCUGCCUUCACGCUCCUCAGGGGUUGAUAUGUUGAUAACAGAAGAAGGGCAAGUUUCUUUGCAUUGAUAUCCAGAGUAACGUUGCAAACGUCCAUUGAGGAUUUCCAUUUAGUGUCUUGUUCAGAAAAGAAAAGAAAACUAAGAAAGUAUGAACCGCGUUUUGGCAAAGUUUGAGUAGAAACAGGCAUGUGGUUUGAAAUUAACGCACUGAACCGUUCUAUACUUUCUGGCACGUUGUCCGAAAGCGACAGAGAAGCGAACUCAUGAUAUUCUAGCAGCACGAGAAAAGGCAUGCAAGACCACAAGCACUUUGAGUAGUGUCAUCGCACACGAUCAACACAUCUACCGAACUAUCCAAUAGCGAAGAGCUGUCUGUAGUCCAGGCACGAGGACAGAAGAAAAACCAAACCAAACCAAAGCUCUUCUGUAGGAACGAAAACGCAAAUCAACUCUUUUCUA